GGGACACGUGGUAUCCUGUCUGAAUAUGGGGGGACCAUCCUCCAAGGCUAAAUACUCCUGACUGACCGAUAGUGAACCAGUACCGUGAGGGAAAGGCGAAAAGAACCCCGGCGAGGGGAGUGAAAAAGAACCUGAAACCGUGUACGUACAAGCAGUGGGAGCACGCUUAGGCGUGUGACUGCGUACCUUUUGUAUAAUGGGUCAGCGACUUAUAUUCUGUAGCAAGGUUAACCGAAUAGGGGAGCCGAAGGGAAACCGAGUCUUAACUGGGCGUUAAGUUGCAGGGUAUAGACCCGAAACCCGGUGAUCUAGCCAUG
rnacentral:rRNA from 1 species